AGUCACGCUGUAAACGAUGUCGAUUUGGAGUUUGUUGCCUAGAGUGAUGGGCUCCGAAGCUAACGCGAUAAAUCGACCGCCUGGGGAGUACGGCCGCAAGGUUAAAACUCAAAUGAAUUGACGGGGGCCCGCACAAGCGGUGGAGCAUGUGGUUUAAUUCGAUGCAACGCGAAGAACCUUACCUGGUCUUGACAUCCAUAGAAUUCUGCAGAGAUGUGGGAGUGCCUUCGGGAACUAUGAGACAGGUGCUGCAUGGCUGUCGUCAGCUCGUGUUGUGAAAUGUUGGGUUAAGUCCCGCAACGAGCGCAACCCUUAUUCUUUGUUGCCAGCGAUUUGGUCGGGAACUCAAAGGAGACUGCCGUUGAUAAAGCGGAGGAAGGUGGGGACGACGCCAAGUCAUCAUGGCCCUUACGACCAGGGCUACGCACGUGCUACAAUGGCGUAUACAAAGGGAAGCGAAGGUGCGAGCUGGAGCGGAUCUCAUAAAGUACGUCUAAGUUCGGAUUGGAGUCUGCAACUCGACUCCAUGAAGUCGGAAUCGCUAGUAAUCGUAGAUCAGAAUGCUACGGUGAAUACGUUCCCGGGCCUUGUACACACCGCCCGUCACACCAUGGGAGUGGGUUGCACCAGAAGUAGAUAGCUUAACCGCGAGGGGGGCGUUUACCACGGUGUGAUUCAUGACUGGGGUGAAGUCGUAACAAGGUAACCA
rnacentral:rRNA from 1 species